AUUCCAAGUGUUGGGGUGCAGGGGAGAUAAUCUGAUUGGCUCAGCUUUAGUCAGCAGACCACCCCCGUCCAACCGGCUGUGUCUGUGGCUGAGAUCUUGUGAUAUAAACAAGGCUGCCAGCGCCCCUCUAUAGGAAGGAAUCCGGUGUUCUUAGAGAAAGGAGCCACAUGCUGGCGAGACACCCAGUUGGUGUCUUCUACAGUCACACACAGUGUGGUUUUGGCAAAAGUUAGUCUUGAAGAUGACUCCAUGACUGGUCUGAGAGUGUACUGUUCUCAUGCCUAAAACCAGAAGUUGCCAUCCAGCUCAGGCACCCCUUCAGGACUCAUGCCAGGCCAGUAUUGGUGUUGGAGAGAUCACAAAGGCCAUGGAUGCUGGGAAUAGUCUGUGAAGAUGGGGGUUUCCAAGGAAGGAAAGGAAGCUAAGCAUAGAGUUGUGAUCUUGCCUGGGAGUCAGAAGACCUGGACUUGAAACCCAGUUUUGCUGUGUGAACUUCGGCACAUUACAUAACUUCUCUGAACCUCAGUAGUUUCAUCUGCAAAAUGUUCUGGGUUUUGGAGUAGCUGACAUGCACGAAAGUCUUAACAGUGCUGAGGACAUUGAACGCAUCAUCUCAUUUAGCCCUCAAAAUAACCUUCCGAGGCAGGUGUCAGUGUUAUCCCAUGAGCGUGGGGAAGCUCUGUAGCAUACCCGGGGCUACAAUCUGGCAAGUGCAGAGCCAGGCUUCCCUCCCAGAUGUGACGUCAGGGUCCAGCCACAUACCCACUGCAAAAUUUACAACACACGGGAAAUGUUUAGCAUAGGGCCUGGAGGAUUAUCUUUGAGUCUCUUCCCCCUCCAGGCCUCAAUCUUCCCAUCUAUUAAAUGAAUGAAAAAAACUAGAGCAGUGCGUACAAGCUCAAAUGUGGAUGCCCACCAGGCAAUUGCGGAAGUCACGGAUGCUCUUCGCCAAAUGGCUGCAGCUCGCUCCCUCCUGGACACAUAGUAGGAUUGCACUUCCUGGGCUCUGUCACUGGGCGGGGCCUGUUACUGGUUCUGGCCAAUUGAGUUGUCAGCAGAAGCGACCUGUGCCACUUCUGUGCUGGGGCAAUUAAUUGCUGGUGGGAAACCCUCAGAGCUCCUUUUCCCUCCACCAUAUUUAAGAUACCGGCUGCUCCAAUAGUCUGGGUCCCAGAGUGAGGAGACUCAGAACUGGCUCCUGGCCAAGCUUCAAUGGACUAUAGUGGAAUUGUAGAAUGAGUGAGAAAUAAACCUUUUUUUUUUUUUUUUUUUGAGACAGGGUCUUGCUCUGUUGCCCAGGCUGAAGUGCAGUGGCACGGUAUAGCUCAGUGCAGCCUCAAACUCCUGGGCCCAAGUGAUUCUCCCUCCUUAGCCUCCUGAGUAGCUGGGACUACAGGUACUUGCCCCCACACCCGGCUAAUUUUUAAAUUUUGGUAGAGAUGCGGACUUGCUAUGUUGCCUCAAAUGAUUCCCCUGCCUUGACUUCCCCAAAUGCUGGGAUUAUAGGUGUGAGCCACAGCGCCUGGCCAAAUCUUUGCUUUUUAAGCCACUGAGAUUUGGGGAUGGUUUGUUUAGCAUAACCCAGCAUACCCUGAUUGCUACCACAGAUAAUAUAAACAAAUGAAAUGGGUUAAGCAUUCAAAUUUUAUUAAAAUGCACGACUCUCUCGUUUUAGCUUUUUUGUUGUCUCUCUUUUGAGGGAAACAAGAGGAUGAGUCAUAUUCCACUGUCUUCUUCCCACUUCUAUCAGACAGACAGUGACACAAUCAUCAUAAGUGGCUCCUGACACUUGUCCUCUGGGCUAGGGGGACACAGGGACCAGGAAAGGGGUGAUUGUGAACCUGAGGAAACAGCUAUUCAGUUCUGAUCCUGGCUGUAUGGAAAUAUGAGCCUGAUUUGCCAGACCUGAUUGUUUUUCAACACAAACUAAAAAUCCAGGUGUUUAUAGGAAAUCUUCCCAUCUGUACAAGUUGAUAAAUAAAUAAGAAAAGUAGUAACAAAUGUUCAGGUCAAACAAAAAUGUGUCAGUUGGCUGCGUGAGGCCUGUGGAGCACCCACUUGAAUCCCCUAGACCGGAAGGUCCACCAUGCCCCAUCCAGCUCUGACUUGCAUGCCACUCUGGCUGGCCAUGAACUCCCUGCAGGCUGGGACAUUGGUCAUUGCUGUCUCAGCUACACCUAGCCCAGCAUCUAAUAGUAAGGGCUCAGUAAAUGUGUGAUGAAUAAAUGGGUAAAUAAGUGGACAAAUGAAUGAAUGACAUUCAGUCUGGAAUGGGGGCCCAGGAAACUGAUUAUCUCAAGGCUUAGGGCAGGGACACCAGAGCCAAACUCCAUUGAGUCCUAUUUGGGUGAAAAUGAGCGUUGAGGCCGUGUGGGGUGGCUCACACCUGCAGUCCCAGCACUUUGGGAGCCCAAGGUGGGUGGAUCAUUCAAGCCCAGGAGUUGGAGAUCAGCCUGGGCAACAUGGGGAAACCCUGUCUACAAAAAAUACAAAAAGGAAGGAAGGAAAGAAAGAAGCAAGAAGAAGGAAGGAAGGAAAGAAGGAAGAAAGAAGAAGGAAGGAAAAAGGAAGAAGGAAGGAAGGAAGGAGAGAGAGAAGAAAAGAAAGAAAAGAAAAAAGAAAAGGAAAAUAAGCACUGAAUGGUGAGACCAGAAGGAUUAGGAACCUGCUCCUCCUCAGCAUCUUCCCUGAGGCUAGGCCCUGCCAACUGUCCUGCUCCCCACAUACUUGGGGCUCCAGGGCCCAGCAGGCUCAGCCUGAGCUGGAUUUGACCUGAUUCCCCACCCCGCCUCCUGCAGCCCCCAUGUCACCCACCUGUGCUAUCCUGUACGCUGCUCCUGGGACUUCAGGCACAGUCUCAGUCUCCUGCACCCAGAAUGGUCUCUCUGCUCUGCUUCCUCCCAUGCCCACUUGCCCUUGUUGAGGUCUAGCUCAUGGCCCACCAUUCAUAUCUUGGAGGCUCCUCUGAUUCCGAGUUCCUAGGAUAGAGGACCGCACAGAGUUGCUCGGUGGAACCCUAUUCCAGGAGACACUGCUACAGGCAGUACUAUAUAGUAUCGUGGUUGAGUUUAGGCUCUGGAGCCAGAUGGCACAGGACCACAUGCUAACUCUACCGCUUUCUGACUACGUGUAUGUAUUAGUUCCCCAUUGUUGCUGUAACAAGUUGCAAUACAUGUAAUAGCUUAAAACAACACAAAUGUAUCAUCUUACAGUUCUAGAGCUAAGUUUAAAAUCAAGGUGUGGAGAGGUCUGCAUUCCUUCAAGAGGCUUGAGGGGAGAGUCUGUUUCCUUGCCUUUUCCAGCUUCUAGAGACCGCCUGGAUUCCUUGGCUCCUGACUCCUUCCUCACAACACUCUAGCAUCUUCUUGUCAUCACAUCCCCUCUAACUCUCUCCUGCCUCUUUUUUAACAGGAACUUCUGAUGAUGUUGGGCUGGCUCUCCCCAUUUUAAGAUCCUUAACCUAAUCACAUCUGAAAAGUCCCUUUGCCAUGUGAGGUAACAUAAUCACAGGCUCAGGGAUUAGGAUAUGGAUUUUAGGGGACGGGGCUGUUCUUCAGUCUACCUCAGUAUAUAUAAAUUUAGGUGAGUUAAACUCAGUUGCCUUAUCUAUCAAAUGGCAAUAACAAUUGCCUCUAACUUCAGAGAGUUGUCUUGAGAAUUAAAAGAUUUAAUACGUAUCAAGGCCUCAGCCAGUGCCUGGGUCAUAGUAAACGCUCAAUAUAUGUUAGCUCUUCUUACUGUCAUACUGUAAAAUAAGGGUUCCAUGGCCAAUGAAGUUUGAGAAAGGCAGCAUACUGCAUCUGCAUCUUGGAGAUUCGUGAUGCCCCUCAUUGUGUUAAAGGCUUUGAUAAAUCUUGCAGAAAUAAAGGCUCCUGGUGGCUAGCUCAGCAUAUGAAUGUAUUUGACCUUCUAAUGAAACCAUUUCUUCCACAAAGCAUCUAUUUAGAUCCUCUAUAUUUAGAAGUUGGGAAAACUUGGCCCAGAAGUUUUCUGGUACUUAUACAAGUGACAGCAAUCAACAGAAGAGUACCUGGCAGAGGCAAAGAAUGCAAGUUUCUUUACAGGCCCCAGCCCAACACAUGUGUUCAUUGACAUACAGGACACUCAUUAGUACCCCCAGCUGGAGAGGCAAGCGGCUGUUCCCUUCAGGUCUCCCCCAUGUGGCCUCUGAUUAGGAUGAGGGUACUUCAAGAAACUUCUUUCUGUGCUUACAGGUGGAAAGGUGUUCUUAUACCCUCGGCCCCUCUCAAAUAUCUGGCUGCUUACUUCCUGCCCUCCAGGUGCAAAUAAUGAGAACCAUAACAACUCCAGCACACACCUGAGCGCUUGCUGCAGGGAAAGGUGCACUUUUCCAGGUGCAGUGGGCUGAAGGAUGUCCCCCAAAAACCUAUGUCAACCAGAAUCUCGGAAUGCAACUUUAUUUGGAAUAAUGGCCUUCAAAGUUUUAAUUAAGGUAAGAAUCUCAAGAUGAGAUCAUGCUUGAUUAGGGUGAAUCUAGAAAUGAUGUCUUUAUAAGAGACAGAGAAGGAGAAGACAUACAGAGACACAGGGAAGAUGGCCAAGAAAGAUGGAGACAGAGAUGGGAAUGAUGCUGCCACAAGCCAAGGAAUGGCAGGAGCUACUAGGAGCUGGAAGAGAGAAAGGAUUCUUCCCAAGAGCCUUCAGAGGGGGCGUGGCCACACCACCACCUUGAGUUCAUACUUCUGGCUUCCAGAACUGAGAGACAAUAUAUUUCUGUUGCUUCAAGCCACCCAGUUUGCAGUUUGCAAUCAAUAGCCCUAGGAAACUAACCCAUCAGGUGUGCUUGUUGCCAGGUUACCACCCUCUGGCAGGUGCAGGCGUGCAGGCUCAGGCUGAUACCUCAUGGCUGACUCCUGCACCUGUUGCUCAGGCAUGUUGCCACCCCUCAGCUUGGUUCAGCUCUGUCUCUCUGGAAGCCUGUGAGCUCCCUGAGGCCAGAGCCCUAAAGAUGUCUGGGCCCCUGUCCCCUGCUGGAGCAGGAGUUGUGGCCAUUAAAAAAAAAAAAAAAAAAAAGUCUGAUGGGCUGGAUCAGCAAGUUUCCCUGGAACAAUGGUAGGUGAGGAUGCAUACUGGAGGUCCCCGAUGAGUCUCUGAGUCCAUGGGCUUGCACAUCUGUUUGGCCAUCUGAGUUACCAGGCUUCAUGAGGGCCUCUGAGGUCAGAAAAAGACCCUGGAGCCCAGUAUCUAGAGCUCAGCAAAGGAUGAAGUGGGCAAGAAAGACUUGAAAGUGAGUACCUGCAUUUCCCCCAAAGCAUAAGGUACGGACCAUCUUGAGGAGCUCACCAUGUCCUAGAGAUAAUCAGACCCUCCAACCUCCUAGCCAACCAAAGUCCUUAGCAAUACAGGGAGAACACAAGUCUUGUGAGAUCUCAGACACAACUGGGGUCAGCAUGGGCUUGGAGUCGACAAGAGCUGGUUCCCAUGGGAAGACCUGGAAGGGUGGGCAGAAUUUUUUCAAUUCAGUGUUGGCAUUUUCCUAAUGUAAAAAGAAUGCUGUCUUGAAGAGAUGUUAGCACUGCCAUGUUCAGUGCAGCACUACUCACAAUAGCCAAGAUAUGGAAACAAUUUGUUUGUUGACAGAUGAAUGGGUAAAGAAAAUGUGAUGUAUGUAUCAUAUAUCAUAUAUAUACACAUAUAUACCCACUCU
rnacentral:lncRNA from 10 species